GGAUAGUUAAGUUGAUAGAGCGUCGUGCUUAUAACGUGAAUGUCGUGGGUUCAAUCCUCAUACUAUCUU
rnacentral:tRNA from 1 species